rnacentral:rRNA from 1 species
UUAAGCGACUAAGCGUACACGGUGGAUGCCCUGGCAGUCAGAGGCGAUGAAGGACGUGCUAAUCUGCGAUAAGCGUCGGUAAGGUGAUAUGAACCGUUAUAACCGGCGAUUUCCGAAUGGGGAAACCCAGUGUGUUUCGACACACUAUCAUUAACUGAAUCCAUAGGUUAAUGAGGCGAACCGGGGGAACUGAAACAUCUAAGUACCCCGAGGAAAAGAAAUCAACCGAGAUUCCCCCAGUAGCGGCGAGCGAACGGGGAGCAGCCCAGAGCCUGAAUCAGUGUGUGUGUUAGUGGAAGCGUCUGGAAAGGCGCGCGAUACAGGGUGACAGCCCCGUACACAAAAAUGCACAUACUGUGAGCUCGAUGAGUAGGGCGGGACACGUGGUAUCCUGUCUGAAUAUGGGGGGACCAUCCUCCAAGGCUAAAUACUCCUGACUGACCGAUAGUGAACCAGUACCGUGAGGGAAAGGCGAAAAGAACCCCGGCGAGGGGAGUGAAAAAGAACCUGAAACCGUGUACGUACAAGCAGUGGGAGCACGCUUCGGCGUGUGACUGCGUACCUUUUGUAUAAUGGGUCAGCGACUUAUAUUCUGUAGCAAGGUUAACCGAAUAGGGGAGCCGAAGGGAAACCGAGUCUUAACUGGGCGUUAAGUUGCAGGGUAUAGACCCGAAACCCGGUGAUCUAGCCAUGGGCAGGUUGAAGGUUGGGUAACACUAACUGGAGGACCGAACCGACUAAUGUUGAAAAAUUAGCGGAUGACUUGUGGCUGGGGGUGAAAGGCCAAUCAAACCGGGAGAUAGCUGGUUCUCCCCGAAAGCUAUUUAGGUAGCGCCUCGUGAACUCAUCUCCGGGGGUAGAGCACUGUUUCGGCAAGGGGGUCAUCCCGACUUACCAACCCGAUGCAAACUGCGAAUACCGGAGAAUGUUAUCACGGGAGACACACGGCGGGUGCUAACGUCCGUCGUGAAGAGGGAAACAACCCAGACCGCCAGCUAAGGUCCCAAAGUCAUGGUUAAGUGGGAAACGAUGUGGGAAGGCCCAGACAGCCAGGAUGUUGGCUUAGAAGCAGCCAUCAUUUAAAGAAAGCGUAAUAGCUCACUGGUCGAGUCGGCCUGCGCGGAAGAUGUAACGGGGCUAAACCAUGCACCGAAGCUGCGGCAGCGACACUAUGUGUUGUUGGGUAGGGGAGCGUUCUGUAAGCCUGUGAAGGUGUGCUGUGAGGCAUGCUGGAGGUAUCAGAAGUGCGAAUGCUGACAUAAGUAACGAUAAAGCGGGUGAAAAGCCCGCUCGCCGGAAGACCAAGGGUUCCUGUCCAACGUUAAUCGGGGCAGGGUGAGUCGACCCCUAAGGCGAGGCCGAAAGGCGUAGUCGAUGGGAAACAGGUUAAUAUUCCUGUACUUGGUGUUACUGCGAAGGGGGGACGGAGAAGGCUAUGUUGGCCGGGCGACGGUUGUCCCGGUUUAAGCGUGUAGGCUGGUUUUCCAGGCAAAUCCGGAAAAUCAAGGCUGAGGCGUGAUGACGAGGCACUACGGUGCUGAAGCAACAAAUGCCCUGCUUCCAGGAAAAGCCUCUAAGCAUCAGGUAACAUCAAAUCGUACCCCAAACCGACACAGGUGGUCAGGUAGAGAAUACCAAGGCGCUUGAGAGAACUCGGGUGAAGGAACUAGGCAAAAUGGUGCCGUAACUUCGGGAGAAGGCACGCUGAUAUGUAGGUGAAGUCCCUCGCGGAUGGAGCUGAAAUCAGUCGAAGAUACCAGCUGGCUGCAACUGUUUAUUAAAAACACAGCACUGUGCAAACACGAAAGUGGACGUAUACGGUGUGACGCCUGCCCGGUGCCGGAAGGUUAAUUGAUGGGGUUAGCGGUAACGCGAAGCUCUUGAUCGAAGCCCCGGUAAACGGCGGCCGUAACUAUAACGGUCCUAAGGUAGCGAAAUUCCUUGUCGGGUAAGUUCCGACCUGCACGAAUGGCGUAAUGAUGGCCAGGCUGUCUCCACCCGAGACUCAGUGAAAUUGAACUCGCUGUGAAGAUGCAGUGUACCCGCGGCAAGACGGAAAGACCCCGUGAACCUUUACUAUAGCUUGACACUGAACAUUGAGCCUUGAUGUGUAGGAUAGGUGGGAGGCUUUGAAGUGUGGACGCCAGUCUGCAUGGAGCCGACCUUGAAAUACCACCCUUUAAUGUUUGAUGUUCUAACGUUGACCCGUAAUCCGGGUUGCGGACAGUGUCUGGUGGGUAGUUUGACUGGGGCGGUCUCCUCCUAAAGAGUAACGGAGGAGCACGAAGGUUGGCUAAUCCUGGUCGGACAUCAGGAGGUUAGUGCAAUGGCAUAAGCCAGCUUGACUGCGAGCGUGACGGCGCGAGCAGGUGCGAAAGCAGGUCAUAGUGAUCCGGUGGUUCUGAAUGGAAGGGCCAUCGCUCAACGGAUAAAAGGUACUCCGGGGAUAACAGGCUGAUACCGCCCAAGAGUUCAUAUCGACGGCGGUGUUUGGCACCUCGAUGUCGGCUCAUCACAUCCUGGGGCUGAAGUAGGUCCCAAGGGUAUGGCUGUUCGCCAUUUAAAGUGGUACGCGAGCUGGGUUUAGAACGUCGUGAGACAGUUCGGUCCCUAUCUGCCGUGGGCGCUGGAGAACUGAGGGGGGCUGCUCCUAGUACGAGAGGACCGGAGUGGACGCAUCACUGGUGUUCGGGUUGUCAUGCCAAUGGCACUGCCCGGUAGCUAAAUGCGGAAGAGAUAAGUGCUGAAAGCAUCUAAGCACGAAACUUGCCCCGAGAUGAGUUCUCCCUGACUCCUUGAGAGUCCUGAAGGAACGUUGAAGACGACGACGUUGAUAGGCCGGGUGUGUAAGCGCAGCGAUGCGUUGAGCUAACCGGUACUAAUGAACCGUGAGGCUUAACCUU